rnacentral:rRNA from 1 species
GAGUUUGAUCCUGGCUCAGGAUGAACGCUGGCGGCGUGCUUAACACAUGCAAGUCGAACGAAGCACUUUAUUUGAUUUCCUUCGGGACUGAUUAUUUUGUGACUGAGUGGCGGACGGGUGAGUAACGCGUGGGUAACCUGCCUCAUACAGGGGGAUAACAGUUGGAAACGACUGCUAAUACCGCAUAAGCGCACAGGAUUGCAUGAUCCGGUGUGAAAAACUCCGGUGGUAUGAGAUGGACCCGCGUCUGAUUAGCCAGUUGGCAGGGUAACGGCCUACCAAAGCGACGAUCAGUAGCCGACCUGAGAGGGUGACCGGCCACAUUGGGACUGAGACACGGCCCAAACUCCUACGGGAGGCAGCAGUGGGGAAUAUUGCACAAUGGGGGAAACCCUGAUGCAGCGACGCCGCGUGAGCGAAGAAGUAUUUCGGUAUGUAAAGCUCUAUCAGCAGGGAAGAAGAAUGACGGUACCUGACUAAGAAGCACCGGCUAAAUACGUGCCAGCCGCCGCGGUAAUAC